AUGGACUCGGUGUGCGAGUGUGCGAGAAACUCUCGGGGCGACCCUCACAGCCACGGAAACGACCUCCCGGUCAUCGCUGCCGCCUCCGAACCGAAGGAUCGAUCCCUGCAGACCGACAGCUCCUCGAAACGGGAGUCUCUGAGUUACGACUUAAUGACGACUUCUAACGCCAACUGGGAGAGUUCGGGCUGUCAGCCCACGCUGAUUCAGGCACCCUCGGUGGCGGCGGCCAGGGGAUCCACCGUCCAGCUGGUCUGCACCCUGAGCGGCGUGCCCGGCGGCCUCUCCGUCCAGUGGUUCCAGCAGCGGGCGGGGAAGGCCCCGCAGUUCGUGCUGCACGUCCCGGGCCACGGGGGCCGCGGGUCCCGGGGGUACGGCAUCCCCGACCGCUUCGGAGGCUCCAGCUCCGGCUACCACCGCUACCUGACCAUCAGAGACGUCCAGCCGGAGGACGAGGCCGACUACUACUGCGGGAUGGCGCACGGCGGGGUGGAGUCCGACGGACCCGAGGGGAAGCGGUGACCGGCCAGAGAGCGUCCCUUCCUCCCCCUCUAGACUGGAAGCUCGUCGUGGGCAGGGAGUGCGUCUCUUAUGUUGUCCUACUGUACGCUCCCGAGCUCCGUACGCUCAAUAAAUACCACUGACUGACUGACGGUUUCCCCCAGACUCUGGCCACUCACCUCGGGGGGCUCCCACGGA